GGCCACAUCGGGAACUGCGGAUACAGUAGACCAAGUUGACGAAUGUUCAGACACUCUUCAAGCUUACAGUGACUCUAAUAUUCCACUUUUGACAAGGAUUACAGCCAAAAAUAGAUGGUUACAAACUCUGACAGUCAACACUGAAUGAAACAAGGAACAGAGUUACUUCUGAUAAGGAAGCAGGCUGCAGUCUCAAGGACUCCAAAAGAGUAAUCGAUAUUUUGGAUGAAAGGACUCAUCAAUAAUAUCACAUCAUGGACUUGAAGGAUGAAAAUCUGUGUAAGAUUCAAACACCAGAGCAAUUCAGGAGCAGAACUUUGAAGAACAACACUGCACCAGGAUUGAACUCUGGACACUUCCAGAGACAGACACUGUUGGUUAGAAUCAGUUAAAUUCCACCGUUAAUCUGGUAAUAACUAAAGUGGGUUAUGAGUCUUAACUUGCCUACUUGAGUGGUCUUAUUUUGCUAUCACUAUAAAUGCAAUAAUGUUUAAAUCAUUGUUUCAGU